CUUUUAAUUGAAGGCUUGUAUGAACGGUUGGAUGAAAGAUAAGCUGUCUCUUUUACAAUUUAGAAUUUGACUUUUAAGUGAAAAGGCUUAAAUUUAAUAGGGGGACGAUAAGACCCUAUAAAACUUUAUACACAAAGUGCUUUGUCUUUAAAUUAUAUUAAAAUAUUGAUGGGUGCUUUGUGUAUUUCGUUGGGGAGACGUUGAUAUAAUUUGUAACUGUCUAAAUGAAAAAAAUAAUUAUCAUUAUGGUUUGAUCCUUCUUUGUGGAUAAAAAGAAUAAGUUACUUUAGGGAUAACAGCGUA
rnacentral:rRNA from 1 species